CUAGAAAAAUAGGACUUGCACCUACACUUAAAAACUCAAAAUUUUUAGCACUCCAUUAUGCUAUUUCCUA
rnacentral:tRNA from 1 species